rnacentral:rRNA from 1 species
CAAGUCAACUUGACUGAAGGAGCAAUCUGACAGUAGAGUGGCGCGAAGGGUGCGUAACGCGUAAGUAACUGCCCAAGGUAAGGAAUAACGUCGAGAAAUCGGCGCUAAUACCUCAUAAUGCAGCGGAUCCGCAUGGAUAUGUUGUUAAAGGUUACCGCCUUGGGAUAGGCUUGCGUCUGAUUAGCUAGUUGGUGUGGUAACGGCACACCAAGGCUACGAUCAGUAACUGGUCUGAGAGGAUGAUCAGUCAUACUGGAACUGAGACACGGUCCAGACUCCUACGGGAGGCAGCAGUGAGGAAUAUUGGGCAAUGCUCGAAAGAGUGACCCAGCAACGCCGCGUGGAGGAUGAAGGUAUUCUAUAUCGUAAACUCCUGUGAGAGCAGACGAAAGACAGAUUAUUAAUCUGGAUGACUGUAUGCUCAGAGGAAGCCCCGGCUAACUACGUG